AUUGAACGCUGGCGGCAUGCUUUACACAUGCAAGUCGAACGGUAACAGGGAGCUUGCUCCGCUGACGAGUGGCGAACGGGUGAGUAAUGCGUCGGAACGUGCCGAGUAGUGGGGGAUAACGCAUCGAAAGGUGUGCUAAUACCGCAUACGAACUGAGGUUGAAAGUGGGGGACCUUCGGGCCUCACGCUAUUCGAGCGGCCGACGUCUGAUUAGCUAGUUGGUGAGGUAAAGGCUCACCAAGGCGACGAUCAGUAGCGGGUCUGAGAGGAUGAUCCGCCACACUGGGAGUGAGACACGGCCCAGACUCCGACGGGAGGCAGCAGUGGGGAAUUUUGGACAAUGGGCGCAAGCCUGAUUCGGCCAUGCCGCGUGUCUGAAGAAGGCCUUCGGGUUGUAAAGGACUUUUGUCCGGGAGCAAAUGCUGGUGGCUAACAUCCACCGGAGCUGAGAGUACCGGAAGAAUAAGCACCGGCUAACUACGUGCCAGCCGCCGCCGUAAAAC
rnacentral:rRNA from 1 species